AGAGUUUGAUCCUGGCUCAGAACGAACGCUGGCGGCGCGCUUCACACAUGCAAGUCGGGCGAGAAAUUCCCCGCUUGCGGGGGAGAGUAAAGCGGCGAACGGGUGCGUAACACGUGGGCAACCUCCCUUCAGUUGGGGAUAAGCCUUCGAAAGAAGGUCUAAUACCGAAUAACAUCUUUUGGCGGCAUCGCCUGAAGAUCAAAGGCUUCGGUCGCUGAGGGAUGGGCCCGCGGUCCAUUAGCUUGUUGGUGGGGUAAUGGCCUACCAAGGCUGCGAUGGAUAGCCGACCUGAGAGGGUGGCCGGCCACACUGGGACUGAGAUACGGCCCAGACUCCUACGGGAGGCAGCAGUAGGGAAUAUUGCGCAAUGGGCGAAAGCCUGACGCAGCGACGCCGCGUGGAUGAUGAAGCUUUUCGGAGUGUAAAAUCCUUUCAGUGGGGACGAACCGGUUCUUCGGAGCCCUGACGGUACCCACAGAAGAAGCACCGGCUAACUCCGUGCCAGCAGCCGCGGUAAUACGGAGGGUGCAAGCGUUGUUCGGAUUUACUGGGCGUAAAGGGUGCGUAGGCGGGUCGGCAGGUCGGAUGUGAAAACCCCACGGCUUAACCGGGGGCCUGCACUCGAAACCGCCGAUCUUGAGUACGGGAGAGGAAAGCGGAAUUCCUGGUGUAGCGGUGAAAUGCAUAGAUAUUACAUAGAACACCAAUUGCGAAGGCAGCUCACUAAGCUAUCACUGACGCUGAGGCACGAAAGCGUGGGGAGCGAACAGGAUUAGAUACCCUGGUAGUCCACGCCGUAAACGAUGAUCACUCGUUGUUGGCAAUACAUCGUCAGCGACUGAGCGAAAGCAUUAAGUGAUCCACCUGGGGAGUACGGUCGCAGGAUUGAAACUCAAAGGAAUUGACGGGGGCCCGCACAAGCGGAGGAACAUGUGGUUUAAUUCGAUGAUACGCGAGGAACCUUACCUGGGCUUAAAUGCAAAUCGACGUACCGGGAAACUGGUACUCCCUUCGGGGCGAAUUGCAAGGUGCUGCAUGGCUGUCGUCAGCUCGUGCCGUGAGGUGUCGGGUUAAGUCCCAUAACGAGCGCAACCCCUAUCGUUAGUUCCAGCGGAUAAUGCCGGGGACUCUAACGAAACUGCCAGUGUAAACUGUGAGGAAGGUGGGGAUGACGUCAAGUCAGCACGGCCCUUAUGUCCAGGGCUACACACGUGUUACAAUGGCCGGUACAGAGGGCAGCUACCUGGUGACAGGAUGCAAAUCUCGAAAACCGGUCUCAGUUCGGAUCGAAGUCUGCAACUCGACUUCGUGAAGGUGGAUUCGCUAGUAAUCGCGCAUCAGCCACGGCGCGGUGAAUACGUUCCCGGGCCUUGUACACACCGCCCGUCAAGCCAUGGAAGCUGGGGAUACCUGAAGUCUGUAACCGCAAGGAGCGGCCUAAGGUAAAACUAGUGACUGGGGCUAAGUCGUAACAAGGUA
rnacentral:rRNA from 1 species